UACGUAGGCAGCGAGCGUUGUUCGGAAUUACUGGGCGUAAAGAGUGUGUAGGCGGUGCUCUAAGUUCGGUGUGAAAUCUCCCGGCUUAACUGGGAGGGUGCGCCGGAAACUGGAGUGCUCGAGCGUGGGAGAGGAAAGCGGAAUUCCUGGUGUAGCGGUGAAAUGCGUAGAUAUCAGGAGGAACACCUGCGGUGUAGACGGCUUUCUGGACCAUUGCUGACGCUGAGGAGCGAAAGCGUGGGGAGCGAACAGG
rnacentral:rRNA from 1 species